UGCCAGCCGCCGCGGUAAUACGAAGGGUGCUAGCGUUGUUCGGAAUUACUGGGCGUAAAGAGCAUGUAGGCGGAUGAAUUAGUCAGGGGUGAAAUCCCGGGGCUCAACCCCGGAACUGCCUUUGAUACUGGUAGUCUAGAGUUCGAGAGAGGUGAGUGGAAUUCCGAGUGUAGAGGUGAAAUUCGUAGAUAUCCGGAGGAACACCAGUGGCGAAGGCGGCUCACUGGCUCGAUACUGACGCUGAGGUGCGAAAGCGUGGGGAGCAAACAGGAUUAGAUA
rnacentral:rRNA from 1 species